GGAUAACCUACCCUUAGGACCGGGAUAACCUUGGGAAACUGAGGAUAAUACUGGAUAGGCAAUUAUUCCUGGAAUGGUUUUUUGUUUAAAUGUUUUUUCGCCUAAGGAUGGGUCUGCGGCCGAUUAGGUAGUUGGUUAGGUAACGGCUUACCAAGCCGUUGAUCGGUACGGGUUGUGAGAGCAAGAGCCCGGAGAUGGAACCUGAGACAAGGUUCCAGGCCCUACGGGGUGCAGCAGGCGCGAAACCUCCGCAAUGUGAGAAAUCGCGACGGGGGGAUCCCAAGUGCCAUUCUUAACGGGAUGGCUUUUCAUUAGUGUAAAGAGCUUUUGGAAUAAGGGCUGGGCAAGACCGGUGCCAGCCGCCGCGGUAACACCGGCAGCUCUAGUGGUAGCAGUUUUUAUUGGGCCUAAAGCGUCCGUAGCCGGUUUAAUAAGUCUCUGGUGAAAUCCUGUAGCUUAACUGUGGGAAUUGCUGGAGAUACUAUUAGACUUGAGACCGGGAGAGGUUAGAGGUACUCCCAGGGUAGAGGUGAAAUUCUGUAAUCCUGGGAGGACCGCCUGUUGCGAAGGCGUCUAACUGGAACGGUUCUGACGGUGAGGGACGAAAGUUAGGGGCGCGAACCGGAUUAGAUACCCGGGUAGUCCUAACCGUAAACGAUGCGGACUUGGUGUUGGGGUGGCUUUGAGCUGCUCCAGUGCCGAAGGGAAGCUGUUAAGUCCGCCGCCUGGGAAGUACGGUCGCAAGACUGAAACUUAA
rnacentral:rRNA from 1 species